rnacentral:lncRNA from 1 species
ACAUUCUUCCACCCACAGAUGUGAAUGUCGUGUGAUGUUGGCUUUCCAGUGUCUUGCAUGGCGUGGUAGCAGCAGAAAUGAGCUUGGCUGGGCACCCUCUCUGGGCCUUGGAGGCAAGCCUGGGCUCCUCUGAAAAUACAGGCAGCUUCCUUUCCCUGACUUGCCUGGAGGAGCCAGGCCCUGUGGUGCGGUCUGGCUCUGAGGCCUGUGGUCCUGCUUGGGACUGGCAGUCUUAGGCUGAGGGAACAUUUUCCAGAGUAUAGCCGAGGGACAGAAUGUCUCAGUAAGACGGGCUCGGAGGGGAAGUGUUUUGGAAAGGCCUCUGCUUGCUCUGGGAGGCGUUCAGGAUGCUGAGGUUUUGGAAAUCUAUGGCGGCUCUUCACAACUGCUCCCAGCUUUGGGAGGAGGAAUAGACGGGUGCUCGUUUCCUCGGGUUCAGUGGCAAAGGUGAAGACCAGCACUGCCGACCUGGGACCUGGGCCUCUCCCGGGCCUGGGGAGGACACUGGACUUUGAAGGGGAAUGCAGCCUAGAAGGCCUGGACCCUGGAGUCAGGAGAUGCUGCUCCCAUCCAGUAAGCCCUGGCUGGAGCUCUUCUGGGCACCAACCCUGGCAUAAAACCAGUGGGGCCUCUGGGCCUGCACUCAACAGUGCCUCUGAUGGAGCAGGUUCAGCUUGGUUGUGACCUCUGCUAGAAGCCCUCCCUGGCCUCCCUGUGCACUGAGCUGGUGGUUCCUCCUUUGCGCCCCAGGUACAUGCUCAGAUCUGUGUACCCUACACUUUGUCCUCCAGCUUCGUGUUUGGAUGUUCACAACUCCCAUGAGAAGGGCCCCCGAGAGCUGGCACAGUGCAUGUGUUUCCUCUCCAGACUUCUACAAACCUGGCACAUAAUUGUUUGCUGAAAGAUGGCAUGUUCCUAAAACAGAGGAAGUAGAACCGAAUAAAGCGAAAUCCAACUUCCCACUCCCUGCUCUCACUUCCUCUGGGACAGGCCUUGAGCAAGAGAGACAAAAA